UUUAAAACUCAGCUGUGGUUUCUCACGGCACCGCCAAACCUAUCUGUCACGCUUUGAUAAACCUGUAUAAAACAAGAAUCCGUCCUACAUACUUCAGUCGUUCUAGAUUCACCAAAAUAAACAGUCAUGAAGGUUUUAUGUCUUGUCGUUCUGUUGUGUGCUGUGGCCAUCAAUGCCAAGAAAGAGGAGAAGCGUCAACUUGGUUUAGCUGCUUUGGCGCCAGUUGUAUCUAAUCUUUUGUUGGAUAAACUCCAUAUCAGUGACUGGAUUGGUAAAGCUAUUGGUUCCGUAACUGCUCUCUUCAAGGGCAAAAGUGGAGAUAUUACUGUUCCUAAUUCAACUUUGAAACUUCACUAUCACGUUGAAAAAUGCAAACUUCACUUUGGAAAGAGAUUCCUCAUUAAGAACAUCGUUCCACAUGAGAGAUGCAAAGCCACAGUCAGUGAAGGAGCUAUCACCAAGACCUCUGCCUCAUGCGAAGAAAGUCAUCAAGAUAAGGCUUUAAAAUGUGCCAUGGAAGCUGAACUGAAGAAGAUCCAAGCCUUGGCCGCACAGGCCGCCAAGGAAGAAGCUGGCAAAUAAGUGCAUAGAGGAAAUAAACAAAAAUCUAAAC